rnacentral:rRNA from 1 species
AUUGAACGCUGGCGGCAUGCCUUACACAUGCAAGUCGAACGGUAACGCGGGGCAACCUGGCGGCGAGUGGCGAACGGGUGAGUAAUAUAUCGGAACGUGCCCAGGAGUGGGGGAUAGCCCGGCGAAAGCCGGAUUAAUACCGCAUACGAUCUAUGGAUGAAAGCGGGGGAUCGCAAGACCUCGCGCUCAUGGAGCGGCCGAUAUCUGAUUAGCUAGUUGGUGGGGUAAGAGCCUACCAAGGCAACGAUCAGUAGCUGGUCUGAGAGGACGACCAGCCACACUGGGACUGAGACACGGCCCAGACUCCUUCGGGAGGCAGCAGUGGGGAAUUUUGGACAAUGGGGGCAACCCUGAUCCAGCAAUGCCGCGUGUGUGAAGAAGGCCUUCGGGUUGUAAAGCUCUUUCGGCCGGGAAGAAAUCGCACAGGCUAAUACUCUGUGUGGAUGACGGUACCGGCAUAAGAAGCACCGGCUAACUACGUGCCAGCCGCCGCAGUAAAAC